rnacentral:misc_RNA from 1 species
GAUGAAGAACGUAGUGAAAUGCGAUAAGUAAUGUGAAUUGCAGAAUUCAGUGAAUCAUCGAAUCUUUGAACGCACAUUGCGCCCCUUGGUAUUCCGAGGGGCAUGCCUGUUCGAGCGUCAUUAUAACCCCUCAAGCUCAGCUUGGUGUUGGGGCCUGCUGCACUGGCAGCCCUUAAAAUCAGUGGCGGCGCCAUCUGGCUCUAAGCGUAGUAAUUCUUCUCGCUAUGGAGUCCUGGUGGAUGCUUGCCAUCAACCCCCAAUUUUUCUAUGGUUGACCUCGGAUCAGGUAGGGAUACCCGCUGAACUUAAGCAUAUCAAAAGCGGAGGA